rnacentral:rRNA from 1 species
UGGUGGGUAGUUUGACUGGGGCGGUCUCCUCCUAAAGAGUAACGGAGGAGCACGAAGGUUGGCUAAUCCUGGUCGGACAUCAGGAGGUUAGUGCAAUGGCAUAAGCCAGCUUGACUGCGAGCGUGACGGCGCGAGCAGGUGCGAAAGCAGGUCAUAGUGAUCCGGUGGUUCUGAAUGGAAGGGCCAUCGCUCAACGGAUAAAAGGUACUCCGGGGAUAACAGGCUGAUACCGCCCAAGAGUUCAUAUCGACGGCGGUGUUUGGCACCUCGAUGUCGGCUCAUCACAUCCUGGGGCUGAAGUAGGUCCCAAGGGUAUGGCUGUUCGCCAUUUAAAGUGGUACGCGAGCUGGGUUUAGAACGUCGUGAGACAGUUCGGUCCCUAUCUGCCGUGGGCGCUGGAGAACUGAGGGGGGCUGCUCCUAGUACGAGAGGACCGGAGUGGACGCAUCACUGGUGUUCGGGUUGUCAUGCCAAUGGCACUGCCCGGUAGCUAAAUGCGGAAGAGAUAAGUGCUGAAAGCAUCUAAGCACGAAAUUUGCCCCGAGAUGAGUUCUCCCUGACU